GGCCGCAUAGUGUAGCGGUUAUCACCUCGGAUUCUGAGUAAUCGAAAUUCCGGUAACCCCAGUUCGAAUCUGGGUGUGGCCU